rnacentral:rRNA from 1 species
ACUGCUCAGUAACACGUCAAUAAUCUGCCCUUAGGUCAUGGAUAACCUUGGGAAACUGAGGGUAAACCAUGAUAGGAGAGAUGCUCUGGAAUAUAGCUCUCUCAUAAGCUCGAGCCUAAGGAUGAGUUGGCGGCCGAUUAGGCUGUUGGCGGUGUAACGGACCACCAAACCUGUGAUCGGUAGGGGCCUUGAAAGAGGGAGCCCCGAGAAGGACACUGAAAUACUGGUCCUAGCCCUACGGGGUGCAGCAGGCGCGAAACUUUUACAAUGCACGAAAGUGUGAUAAGGGGAUCCCAAGUGCUUGCACACUGUGCAGGCUUUUUUCCAGGGCAAGUACCUGGGAGAAUAAGUGGUGGGUAAGACUGGUGCCAGCCGCCGCGGUAACACCAGCGCCACGAGUGGCAGCCGUAUAUUUGGCCUAAAGCGUCCGUAGCUGGUAGGAUGAAUUCUUUGUGAAAUUGUUGAGCUUAACUUAACAACGUGCAGAGAACACUGUCCUGCUUGAGACCGGGAGGAGUCAGAGGUAUUUCUGGGGGAGCGGUAAAAUGCUAUAAUCCCAGGAAGACCACCUGUGGCGAAGGCGUCUGACUAGAACGGAUCUGACAGUGAGGGACGAAAGCCAGGGGAGCAAACCGGAUUAGAUACCCGAGUAGUCCUGGCUGUAAACGCUGUGAGCUAGGUGUUGCCUAUUCUACAUGAAUGGACAGUGUCGAAAUGAAGAUGUUAAGCUCACCGCCUGGGAAGUACAGUCGCAAGGCCGAAACUUAAAGGAAUUGGCGGGGGAGCAC